AGUGAACGCUGGCGGUAGGCCUAACACAUGCAAGUCGAACGGAAGCACAGUAAGAGCUUGCUCUUACGGGUGGCGAGUGGCGGACGGGUGAGGAAUACAUCGGAAUCUACUUUUUCGUGGGGGAUAACGUAGGGAAACUUACGCUAAUACCGCAUACGACCUACGGGUGAAAGCAGGGGAUAUUCGGACCUUGCGCGAUUGAAUGAGCCGAUGUCGGAUUAGCUAGUUGGCGGGGUAAAGGCCCACAAAGGCGACGAUCCGUAGCUGGUCUGAGAGGAUGAUCAGCCACACUGGAACUGAGACACGGUCCAGACUCCUACGGGAGGCAGCAGUGGGGAAUAUUGGACAAUGGGCACAAGCCUGAUCCAGCCAUACCGCGUGAGUGAAGAAGGCCUUCGGGUUGUAAAGCCCUUUUGUUGGGAAAGAAAAACAGCAUAUUAAUACCCCGCUGUUCUGACGGUACCCAAAGAAUAAGCACCGGCUAACUUCGUG
rnacentral:rRNA from 1 species